rfam:Oryza sativa Japonica Group DNA, chromosome 5, cultivar: Nipponbare, complete sequence.
AAUAAGUGCAGCCAUGAGUUUCCGUGUCCAACUUUAAUCGUUCGUUUUAUUUAAAAAAUUUUUGAAAAAACUUUAAAAAAUAAGCCACGAGUAAAGUACUAUUCAUGUUUUAUCAUAUCAUAACAACAAAAAUACUAAUCAUAAAAAAAUUUCAAAUAAGACGGACGAUUAAAGUUGGGUGCGGAAACUCAUGGCUGCACUUAUU